UUGAAUAAACUUGAUGUGGUUGUAGCUGGCUCUCUAGGGAGUAUGUGCACGCCCGUCAUAUUUAUAUUUCCACCUGUGCACCUUUUGUAGACCCAGAAGACUCUUUGUAGUCGUUUGGGCCUAUGUUUAUCAUAUACCCCAUAGUAUGUAUUAGAAUGGUAUUAGUGGGCUUCAUGCCUAUAAACACUAUA
rnacentral:misc_RNA from 1 species